UGGGGAAUCUUGGACAAUGGGCGCAAGCCUGAUCCAGCCAUGCCGCGUGGAUGAUGAAGGCCUUAGGGUUGUAAAAUCCUUUCGCCGAGGACGAUAAUGACGGUACUCGGAGAAGAAGCUCCGGCUAACUUCGUGCCAGCAGCCGCGGUAAUACGAAGGGGGCUAGCGUUGUUCGGAUUUACUGGGCGUAAAGCGCGUGUAGGCGGGUCGUUAAGUUGGGGGUGAAAUCCCGAGGCUCAACCUCGGAACUGCCUUCAAAACUGGCGACCUGGACCUAAGUAGAGGCAAGUGGAAUUGCGAGUGUAGAGGUGAAAUUCGUAGAUAUUCGCAGGAACACCAGUGGCGAAGGCGACUUGCUGGACUUAUGGUNACGCUGAGACGCGAAAGCGUGGGGAGCAAACAGGAUUAGAUACCCCCGUAGUCCCUGAGCGGGCUGGCAAGGCGCAU
rnacentral:rRNA from 1 species